AUUGAACGCUGGCGGCAGGCCUAACACAUGCAAGUCGAGCGAGCGGCGGACGGGUGAGUAAUAUCUGGGAAACUGCCUGAUGGACGGGGAUAACUACUGGAAACGGUAGCUAAUACCGCAUACCAUCAGAUGUGCCCAUAUGUGAUUAGCUAGUAGGUGGGGUAACGGCUCACCUAGGCGACGAUGCCUAGCUGGACUGAGAGGCUGAUCAGCCACACUGGAACUGAGAAACGGUCCAGACUCCUACGGGAGGCAGCAGUGGGGAAUAUUGCACAAUGGGCGCAAGCCUGAUGGAGCAAUGCCGCGUGAGUGAAGAAGGUCUUCGGGUUGUAAAGCACUGUCAGUGGGGAGGCGGUACCCACACAGAAAGCACCGGCUAACUCCGUGCCAGCAGCCGCGGUAAUAC
rnacentral:rRNA from 1 species